AAUAGAUACCCAGGUAGUCCACCCCGUAAACGUUGGGAACUAGUUGUGGGGACCAUUCCACGGUUUCCGUGACGCAGCUAACGCAUUAAGUUCCCCGCCUGGGGAGUACGGCCGCAAGGCUAAAACUCAAAGGAAUUGACGGGGACCCGCACAAGCGGCGGAGCAUGCGGAUUAAUUCGAUGCAACGCGAAGAACCUUACCAAGGCUUGACAUAUACGAGAACGGGCCAGAAAUGGUCAACUCUUUGGACACUCGUAAACAGGUGGUGCAUGGUUGUCGUCAGCUCGUGUCGUGAGAUGUUGGGUUAAGUCCCGCAACGAGCGCAACCCUCGUUCUAUGUUGCCAGCACGUAAUGGUGGGAACUCAUGGGAUACUGCCGGGGUCAACUCGGAGGAAGGUGGGGAUGACGUCAAAUCAUCAUGCCCCUUAUGUCUUGGGCUUCACGCAUGCUACAAUGGCCGGUACAAAGGGCUGCAAUCCGUAAGGUGGAGCGAAUCCCAAAAAGCCGGUCCAGUUCGGAUUGAGGUCUGCAACUCGACCUCA
rnacentral:rRNA from 1 species